rnacentral:rRNA from 1 species
UACGUAGGUGGCAAGCGUUGUCCGGAAUUACUGGGUGUAAAGGGCGUGUAGGCGGGAAGACAAGUCAGAUGUGAAAGCCCAUGGCUUAACUGUGGAACUGCAUCUGAAACUGUUUUUCUUGAGUACUGAGAGGAAAGUGGAAUUCCUAGUGUAGCGGUGAAAUGCGUAGAGAUUAGGAGGAACACCAGUGGCGAAGGCGGCUUUCUGGACAGUAACUGACGCUCAGGCACGAAGGCGUGGGGAUCAAACCAGGAUUAGAUACCCCUGUA